AACCUGUUUCAGAAGCAGGUGUACUGGAAUUUAUUAAGACAAAAGAAUUACGACUGACCUCAGUCUUAUUGAUCGUAGCCAUAAUGUCUACGACGUUAAGUUUUGAUACUAUACUGAGAAUGUCAGAGAACAUUGGCUUGAACAUCUUCAUCACGUUUACAGUAUCGGCUGCUACAGAAGUACCAUCUAUAUCAUUGCUGGUUUUCUUGUUAGAUAGGUUUGGACGACGCUGGCUUGUCUUUUGUCCCGUUAUUGCAACAAUAAUCCUCAACAUGACCAACGCAUUUGUAUCAAACAACUUCGCAUCUGGAGCGCUUCUAGUUUCCGCGAGAUUCUUCAACAUUAUGGCAUACAAUACAUUGAUCCAAUGGACUCCAGAGCUGUUACCUACCUCUAUGAGGGCUUCUGGUGGUGCGCUUAUCUUUACUUUCGGUAAUCUUCCAUUACUGCUGUCGUCAUUCGUCGUUUUUUCGGCACAGUACUGGCCAGGUCUCCCAUUCUUAAUAAUUUCGGUAUUCGCUAUACUAGGAGCUAGUUGUGCCCUCUUCAUACCAGAGACAAUGGGCAAGCCAAUGCCACAAACAGUGGAAGAUAUAAGAAACUUAAGCAGGAUAAUUUAGUUAAGUCCAACAACUAGGAAAGCUCGGGAAAAGCGUAGUGCAGGCAAGAAGAAUAACUGUUUUUUCUAUAAAUGUAUAGAUAGCGUUUUGGCAUAAUUGAGGGAAUUGUUAUAUUUGUUGGUUUUAAAUUAUUAGUUAAAACCGAAAAGAAUAUAAUAGGAAAAGCAUUACGUUUUUUUUUAAUAGUUGAUUUUAGUAGAUUAAUUAUUAGUUUUUCACCAGUGUUCGUUUUAAAGAAAAUUAAUCGAACUUCCAUCAAGUUGCUUUGGUGCCAGCAAGGGUUUACGUUACGAAGGUUAAAAAAGUACAAAUUUAAUAACUAAUUGUUUCUUAUAGAGAUCACGCAAAUCCACCAGGUGAAAAAGGUGUUGGAAUAUAGUAUAGUUUUACGUUGUACCUAUUUAAGUUAAAAUAAUAUAAAUAAUGUUGAUGUAAAAUUCACUGUUACUAGCAAACGUCAGUUGUACCAAAAGCAGCAGUCACAUCUCUUAUGUUCAAUAUCGAAAGCACUAAGAAUGACUUCUGUAUGUCAGAAACAUAUUUUGACACGUGACGUCUUAAUUAUAGAAUUUAUUAUGUGGCAAUUUACUGACAAGAGUUGUGGAGUUGGUAUUAAGAAAUGCGUAAGUCUUGAUAAAACGCAAUUUGUAAGGUACAAAUUGCGUUCAUAUUUAUUACUUAGCGGGCGAAUUCGUUUGUCGAGUGCCACUUUUCAUUGUAUUGAGAUUAUUGUACAUUGCCGAUUCCUUUUAUAGAUAAGAAUUUAACAACAUUUGGCUAU